UCAAAAUAUACUAAAUCUGUGUGUGUUUUUCAUCGCUGAACCCAUUUUUCAGUGAAACUUCAUCGCAUUGCAUCACAUGCAUACCGAACUCAUUUUUCAAUCAACUCUGAACUUCAUCGCUUUCAAUCAACUAGUUUCAGCAAAGUUUGAUUUCGCUUUCAAUCAACUAGUUUCAGCAAAGUUUGAUUUCAGGAAGUGUAUCGCGUUGUUUCUGUGAAUCCUUUCUCAUUCGCUCAACUUCGCUUCGCUUCUGUGACGAUUGAAAAGGGCUUCGCUCAUUCGCUCUCUUCUUCUCCAACACCGCACCGCUCAUUUGCUCACUGAAACUGAGAGGAAUCCAUUUCGCAGUGACGACAAACGAAGCUGAGAGGAAACCAUUUCACAGUGACGACAUUGGUAAGGAAGAAUUAGGGGUUUUAUACUUUGAGCGACAUUGGUAGCUGAAGAAUUAGGGUUUGUUCUUUGAAAUGGAGUUCACGAUUGAAGAAUUAACAUUGUAUUUCCCAUACGACUACAUAUACCCAGAACAAUUGUCAUACAUGAUUGAAUUAAAACAAACCCUAGAUGAAAAAGGACAUUGUUUACUCGAAAUGCCGCCAGGAACGGGAAAAACAAUUGCAUUACUGUCACUAAUCAUAAGCUACAUACUUUCGAAAGCUCAAUCUCCGCGAAAGCUUAUUUUCUGCACCUGAACGGUUCACGAGAUGGAAAAGACUCUUGUCGAGCUUCGACUACUUCAUGCUUAUAUGGUUAAGUGUAAUGGUCCUGUUGAUAAGAUGCUCGCGCUCGGAUUCUCUUCGAAGAAGAAUAUUUGUGUUAAUAAUGACGUUCUGGCUGCUGAGAAUUGUGAUUCAGUUGAGACUAGAUGUAGGAAAUUGACGGCUAGUUGGGUUAUUAAGGCAAGGGCUGUAGAGGGCAUGACUGUUCCUAGGUGUGAGUUUUUUGAGCAGUAUGAAAGGGAUGACGUCGCUGCUGCUUUGCCUCCUGGAGUUUAUACUUUGCAGGGCAGGUCACUUGGAUGAUCAUAUAAAAACACACCCUUCUCAUCAAAAGUAUUACUCACACAAGCUAAAACGUCUGGAAAGGAGCUGGGUUUUCAAUGAUAUCAGGUUCUAUAUGUUGUGAAGACCACUUCAUGUGUUUUGAUGCUCCGGGAACAAGUUGCGCCAACGGUCACCUCGUGGUGUACUAGUUUUUCGGCUCAGAAUUUUCCUACUUCAGUUCUUUUACAAGAUCAGUGUAAUGAGUAUAGGCCUCUAUUGCAUGUAUCAAAGAAAGACAAGACAUGCCAGGCAACAAGGCAGAUGGAUAUUGUCACGAUUCAAGAAGAGAAUGACACCGGUAAUGCUGUUCAAGUAGCUCAUGACUUCACGAAGCACCUGCAUCUCUUGCCUCGUUUAGAGAAUUUAUUAACUUCCACGGGAACAUAAGUGGAUACUUCUUCAACUUUACAUAAUGUAGAUGGUUUCUGUAUGGUUCAAGAAUAUAGAUAUGAUAAAGUAGAGAUCCAAGUUGAUAAUAUAAUUGUAGUGAGGGAAAUUCAGAGCAAGAACAAGAGAAGAUGGCAAGGCAUGCACAUGAUGCGCAAAGUGCAAGACUACUUGAACAACAUUCCUAAAUGGCGAGUUAAAUAUAUUCACCGCCGAAGCAAAUAUGUGUGUUGAUUGCCAUGAAAAAAUUUGAUGCAACCAUUUUAAGUAAUAUUUGUUUGUAUGUGGAUUGCUCAUAUUUCAGCUAAACAAUGAACAAUUGCUGUCUGGAAAUCUCAACAACAUGGUUAAAGGGAAGGCACCUGUCCGUGAAAUUAUCUCAUGGAUUGAUGAAAGUGUGUCUUCAAAUAAUAGUCUAGAAGUUACACUCAGAGUUGUCAUACAAACUCUUCUCAAUAUUGGAUCCAAGAGUUUCACUCAUUUGAUAACUGUAUUAGAAAGAUAUGGGCAAGUCAUUGCUAAAAUAUGUCCAGAUGAAGAUAAGCAAAUUAUGCUGAUAGCUGAAGUCGGUUCUUUCUGGAAGAGUAACACACAAAUGACAGCAAUAGCAAUUGACCGAAUGAUGGGCUAUCAGCUUAUAUCAAAUUUGGCUAUUGUGAGAUGGGUCUUCUCUGAAGAAAAUGUUGAGCAAUUUCAUUUGUCAGAUCGUCCAUGGGAGGUACUUAAUCUGGCUUUUAUGGAUAAUUCAUUUGCAAUUCUUCUUUCUCAGUUAAAUUUACAGUGAUUGGGAAUAUCCCUCUUUUACUUUUUGAUUGUCUUUUGGCUUGAUCAUCUUUGCGUGACUAAUUGUACCAAGUUGAA